rnacentral:rRNA from 1 species
AUUGAACGCUGGCGGCAGGCCUAACACAUGCAAGUCGAGCGGAUGAAGGGAGCUUGCUCCUGGAUUCAGCGGCGGACGGGUGAGUAAUGCCUAGGAAUCUGCCUGGUAGUGGGGGAUAACGUCCGGAAACGGGCGCUAAUACCGCAUACGUCCUGAGGGAGAAAGUGGGGGAUCUUCGGACCUCACGCUAUCAGAUGAGCCUAGGUCGGAUUAGCUAGUUGGUGGGGUAAAGGCCUACCAAGGCGACGAUCCGUAACUGGUCUGAGAGGAUGAUCAGUCACCACGGGAACUGAGACAGGGUCCAAAUCCCCCGGGGGGGACGCGGGGGGGAAUUUUGGAAAAGGGGCGAAAGCCUGAUCCAGCCAGGCCGGGGGUGGAAAAAAGGUUUUCGGUUUGUAAAGCCUUUUAAGUUGGAAGAAAGGGAAGUAAGUUAAUCCCUUGCUUUUUUGACGUUACCAACAAAAAAAGCCCCGGCUAACUUCGU